CGCCCAUUUGAAUUCACGAGAAGAAAGUUCUCAUGAAUUUUUCUUCACGCAAAGCCCUCCUCAUGCCCUACUUUAAUGUGCCAAAUGAGUGGAUAAGGAUGAUUGGUUGGUCAUUCAAAUUCAAAACAAAGUUUGAAUUUGAAUGAGCAAUCAAUCUUAGCGCAUUGACCUUAUCCUCUUUUAGCACCCCAUUUAUUAUAUGAGAAAA
rnacentral:lncRNA from 1 species